rnacentral:rRNA from 1 species
GGUUUAAGCGUGUAGGCUGGUUUUCCAGGCAAAUCCGGAAAAUCAAGGCUGAGGCGUGAUGACGAGGCACUACGGUGCUGAAGCAACAAAUGCCCUGCUUCCAGGAAAAGCCUCUAAGCAUCAGGUAACAUCAAAUCGUACCCCAAACCGACACAGGUGGUCAGGUAGAGAAUACCAAGGCGCUUGAGAGAACUCGGGUGAAGGAACUAGGCAAAAUGGUGCCGUAACUUCGGGAGAAGGCACGCUGAUAUGUAGGUGAAGCGACUUGCUCGUGGAGCUGAAAUCAGUCGAAGAUACCAGCUGGCUGCAACUGUUUAUUAAAAACACAGCACUGUGCAAACACGAAAGUGGACGUAUACGGUGUGACGCCUGCCCGGUGCCGGAAGGUUAAUUGAUGGGGUCAGCGCAAGCGAAGCUCUUGAUCGAAGCCCCGGUAAACGGCGGCCGUAACUAUAACGGUCCUAAGGUAGCGAAAUUCCUUGUCGGGUAAGUUCCGACCUGCACGAAUGGCGUAAUGAUGGCCAGGCUGUCUCCACCCGAGACUCAGUGAAAUUGAACUCGCUGUGAAGAUGCAGUGUACCCGCGGCAAGACGGAAAGACCCCGUGAACCUUUACUAUAGCUUGACACUGAACAUUGAGCCUUGAUGUGUAGGAUAGGUGGGAGGCUUAGAAGUGUGGACGCCAGUCUGCAUGGAGCCGACCUUGAAAUACCACCCUUUAAUGUUUGAUGUUCUAACGUUGACCCGUAAUCCGGGUUGCGGACAGUGUCUGGUGGGUAGUUUGACUGGGGCGGUCUCCUCCUAAAGAGUAACGGAGGAGCACGAAGGUUGGCUAAUCCUGGUCGGACAUCAGGAGGUUAGUGCAAUGGCAUAAGCCAGCUUGACUGCGAGCGUGACGGCGCGAGCAGGUGCGAAAGCAGGUCAUAGUGAUCCGGUGGUUCUGAAUGGAAGGGCCAUCGCUCAACGGAUAAAAGGUACUCCGGGGAUAACAGGCUGAUACCGCCCAAGAGUUCAUAUCGACGGCGGUGUUUGGCACCUCGAUGUCGGCUCAUCACAUCCUGGGGCUGAAGUAGGUCCCAAGGGUAUGGCUGUUCGCCAUUUAAAGUGGUACGCGAGCUGGGUUUAGAACGUCGUGAGACAGUUCGGUCCCUAUCUGCCGUGGGCGCUGGAGAACUGAGGGGGGCUGCUCCUAGUACGAGAGGACCGGAGUGGACGCAUCACUGGUGUUCGGGUUGUCAUGCCAAUGGCACUGCCCGGUAGCUAAAUGCGGAAGAGAUAAGUGCUGAAAGCAUCUAAGCACGAAACUUGCCCCGAGAUGAGUUCUCCCUGACUCCUUGAGAGUCCUGAAGGAACGUUGAAGACGACGACGUUGAUAGGCCGGGUGUGUAAGCGCAGCGAUGCGUUGAGCUAACCGGUACUAAUGAACCGUGAGGCUUAACCUUACAACGCCGAAGCUGUU